GCAUAUAUCACCUGGGGACCUUAUUAAAAUGCAGAUUCUGAUUCAAUAGAUUCAGGGGUGGGACCUGAAAUUCUGCAUUCCUAAUGAGCUUCCAAGUGAUACAGGU
rnacentral:pre_miRNA from 1 species